rnacentral:rRNA from 1 species
AUUGAACGCUGGCGGCAUGCUUUACACAUGCAAGUCGAACGGCAGCGCGGGCUUCGGCCUGGCUGCGCGUGGCGAACGGGUGAGUAAUACAUCGGAACGUGCCCAGCAGUGGGGGAUAGCUCGGCGAAAGCCGGAUUAAUACCGCAUACGACCUGAGGGUGAAAGCGGGGGAUCUUCGGACCUCGCGCUAUUGGAGCGGCCGAUGGCAGAUUAGCUAGUUGGUGGGGUAAAGGCCUACCAAGGCGACGAUCUGUAGCUGGUCUGAGAGGACGACCAGCCACACUGGGACUGAGACACGGCCCAGACUCCUACGGGAGGCAGCAGUGGGGAAUUUUGGACAAUGGGCGAAAGCCUGAUCCAGCAAUGCCGCGUGUGUGAUGAAGGCCUUCGGGUUGUAAAGCACUUUUGGCGGGAACGAAAAGGACUGUGCCAAUACCACGGUUCGAUGACGGUACCCGAAGAAUAAGCACCGGCUAACUACGUG